rnacentral:rRNA from 1 species
UCGGGAAUAUUGCGGCAAUGGAGGAAACUCUGACGCAGUGACGCCGCGUGCAGGAAGAAGGUUUUCGGAUUGUAAACUCCUGUCGUUAGGGACGAUAAUGACGGUACCUAACAAGAAAGCACCGGCUAACUACGUGCCAGCAGCCGCGGUAAAACGUAGGGUGCAAGCGUUGUCCGGAAUUACUGGGUGUAAAGGGAGCGCAGGCGGACCGGCAAGUUGGAAGUGAAACCAUGGGCUCAACCCAUGAAUUGCUUUCAAAACUGCUGGCCUUGAGUAGUGCAGAGGUAGGCGGAAUUCCCGGUGUAGCGGUGGAAUGCGUAGAUAUCGGGAGGAACACCAGUGGCGAAGGCGGCCUACUGGGGCACCAACUGACGCUGAGGCUCGAAAGUAUGGGUAGCAAACA